rnacentral:misc_RNA from 1 species
GAAAUGCGAUAAGUAAUGUGAAUUGCAGAAUUCAGUGAAUAAUCGAAUCUUUGAACGCACAUUGCGCCCGCCAGUAUUCUGGCGGGCAUGCCUGUUCGAGCGUCAUUACAACCCUCAGGCCCCCGGGCCUGGCGUUGGGGAUCGGCGGAAGCCCCCUGCGGGCACAACGCCGUCCCCCAAAUACAGUGGCGGUCCCGCCGCAGCUUCCAUUGCGUAGUAGCUAACACCUCGCAACUGGAGAGCGGCGCGGCCACGCCGUAAAACACCCAACUUCUGAAUGUUGACCUCGAAUCAGGUAGGAAUACCCGCUGAACUUAAGC